GUUAAUCUGGUGUAAUAAGCACUAGAAUUGUAAUCUAAAGACCUUUUAGGGAAGCCGUGGAACUAGCGUAACCAUCAGGAAAGGUGGGUCAUAGAGGGUGAUAACCCCGUAUUCAGCUAGGUCCGGGUGUACCGAAUGAGUCCAAGAGUCGGGUUGUUUGGGAUUGCAGCCCUAAGUGGGAGAUAAACUUCUUCUAAAGCUAAAUAUUUAUGGGAAACCGAUAGCAAACAAGUACUACGAAGGAAAGAUGAAAAGAACUUUGAAAAGAGGGCUAAAAGACUUGAAAUCGUUGAGAAGAAAAGCGGUAGAAGAUAAAUGAUUUUACGAGGUAGUAUGGGCUAUAAUGGCUUCCUUCACUGUGAUGGUACUUAAUAGGGCCUAGCGGUGAAUCGAUUGUCAUUUAAGUUUUUUUACCUAGUAAAGUGCAAAAUGAGGUCUUAAUCACGGAAACUAAUUACGGAGGACUGGGGACUAGAUUUCUCAAGCCGUAUUAUCAACGUGAUUUUGGCCUGAGGGCUCCUUUUGGAGAUUUUGCAAAAAAGGCUUCUACUGACCCGUCUUGAAACACGGACCAAGGAGUCUACCCCAUAUGCAAGUUUUAGGGUGGAAAAACCCGAAAGCGCAACGAAAGUGAGUACAAGGUGUUAACCCGAAAAGGGUGCAGCAUCGACCAACCUUGAUUUUCGAAUGAAGGGAUUGAGUAAGAGCAUAUUUGGUAGGACCCGAAAGAUGGUGAACUACGCUUGAGUAGGGCGAAGCCAGGAGAAAUUCUGGUGGAGGCUCGAAGCGUUACUGACGUGCAAAUUCGAUCGUA
rnacentral:rRNA from 1 species